rnacentral:rRNA from 1 species
UACGUAGGGUGCGAGCGUUGUCCGGAAUUAUUGGGCGUAAAGAGCUCGUAGGCGGUCUGUCGCGUCGGUCGUGAAAACUUGGGGCUUAACCCUGAGCUUGCGGUCGAUACGGGCAUGACUGGAGUUCGGCAGGGGAGACUGGAAUUCCUGGUGUAGCGGUGAAAUGCGCAGAUAUCAGGAGGAACACCGGUGGCGAAGGCGGGUCUCUGGGCCGAUACUGACGCUGAGGCGCGAAGGCCAGGGGAGCGAACGGG